GAUGAAGAACGUAGCGAAAUGCGAUAAGUAGUGUGAAUUGCAGAAUUCAGUGAAUCAUCGAAUCUUUGAACGCACAUUGCGCCCCUUGGUAUCCCGAGGGGCAUGCCUGUUCGAGCAUCAUUUCACCACUCAAGCCUGGCUUGGUGUUGGGCGACGUCCUCUUUGGGGACGCGCCUCGAAACGCUCGGCGGCGUGGCACCGGCUUUAAGCGUAGCAGAAUCUUUCGCUUUGGAAGUCGGGGCCCCGUCUGCCGGAAGACCUGCUCGCAAGGUUGACCUCGGAUCAGGCAGGGAUACCCGCUGAACUUAAGCAUAUCAAGCGGAGGA
rnacentral:misc_RNA from 1 species